rnacentral:lncRNA from 1 species
UUCUCCUGUUCAACCUCAAUUCUCCCCCCUCUCCCUUCUUUUCCUCUCUCUUUCACCCUCCCCCACUCUUUCGUGUCUCUUCCCUCCUCUGAAUAACCAAGCUGUUUUGCCUGCGAAAGUCGAGAGAGAGAGAGAGACUGCGGUGACUGGAAGACAUGAGGGACUCUGGUACAUCUGGGAGUGGAAACUUGAUGCUUCUGGGCCGUGAUUUGCCAAGGCCUCGCCAAAGACGCCUAAAGGAGCCUGUUUGUGUGCUGUGGCCACGUUCUGCUGUGACUGGAUCUUGUCUUCUGCCUGGCUCCUUGAUUUCCGUCCGGCUGGAUUUGGGGACAACACUGCCUGGCGCAGACAGAUCAAAUGACACUUCAAAGAAGCAUAAAAUGAACAGACUAUUCAAUCAAACAAAGGAUGGUGCUGGGGCAGAUGGGGUGA